UACGUAGGUGGCAAGCGUUACUCGGAAUCACUAGGCGUAAAGCGCAGGUAGGCGGUUCGAUAAGUCUCUUGUGAAAGCUCCCGGCUUAACUGGGAGAGGUCAAGGGAAACUGUCGGGCUAGAGUGUGGCAGAGGAAACUGGAAUUCCCGGUGUAGCGGUGAAAUGCGUGGAUAUCGGGAGGAACACCAGUGGCGCAAGCGGCGGCCUGGGUAUGACCUGACACUGAGCCACGACGGCGUGGGGAGCAAACGGG
rnacentral:rRNA from 1 species